UUGUGUGGGAGGAGGGAAGAUCUCCUCACCAUCUAAUGCAAUGGUUUGCAUCAUCUUGAUUUGUUUGGAUUGCGUCACCCAGAAUUCCUGAUGGUCUGCAUUCCACACGUGGGAUGUGGCAAACCGCCUACUUCUUUUAAUUCCAGAAAUUGUUCGAUGAAGUUUUGGCAUGUCACAAAACAGAAAGAAUAUCAAGUAAAUCUUGUUCAUCACUUGUGCUCAGUAAAGUUGAAGAAAAAUGAUUGAGACAUCAAAGGACAAUAAACUAUCAGAUGGCAUGUUCUUCAGUGAAGUCUUCCCAUACAGUCUCCAGACAGUUGGAGUUGAUCCUAUCAUAAAGUUCCCAUGAAACAAUUAAACUCACCCUGCUU